UACGUAGGGAGCGAGCGUUGUCCGGAUUCCUUGGGCGUAAAGAGCUCGUAGGCGGCUUGAUAAGUCGGAUGUGAAACCUCCAGGCUCAACCUGGAGUCGCCAUCCGAUACUGUCAUAGCUAGAGUCCGGUAGGGGCCCACGGAACUCCUGGUGGAGCGGUGAAAUGCGUAGAUAUCGUCUGGAACGCCGAAGGUGAAAACAGCUCGCUGGGGCUGCGCUGACGCUGAGACGCGAAAGCGUGGGGAGCGAACAGG
rnacentral:rRNA from 1 species